rnacentral:rRNA from 1 species
UACGGAGGGUGCAAGCGUUGUCCGGAAUCACUGGGCGUAAAGGGCGCGUAGGCGGCUCUCUAAGUCACUUGUGAAAUCCUGGGGCUCAACUCCAGGGCUGCAGGUGAGACUGGAAGGCUAGAGCUCGGUAGAGGCGAGUGGAAUUCCCGGUGUAGCGGUGGAAUGCGUAGAUAUCGGGAAGAACACCGGUGGCGAAGGCGGCUCGCUGGGCCGAUGCUGACGCUGAUGCGCGAAAGCGUGGGGAGCAAACAGG